CAUGUCUCCUGACAUUCAGCGUAGGUGAGAAAUAUGAAUCUUUAAAAUACCUCUGUCAGGAUUUUAGUUUUUUUUUUUCACCCCCAAGUAAAUUAUCAACCAUCUCCUGACAUCAAAGCAGCUUUCAUCACAUUAUCAUUCCCUGAGGCGCACACAUCUUGAAAGCCUUUCGGUAAAUACUUGAUUAAUAUUGCGUCCAUCAAUGUGAGGAUCAGCAACUCUUUGAACGCUGAGAGAGAGAGGAGGGCAGACAUGAAAACAGGAAUGUUUCAUCGGCAUCAGCUAGUGUAUAAUUGGCUCGUAAAAGUCUAAUUAGUCUUACAACCUGCAGGAAGCCAUUGAACACAAACAACAUUAUACUAUGCAAUGCACUAGCUGAUGGGCAAAGUUGGUUUCCAUCAGCAUCUGUCAAUCAUGUAUGCUUCAGUUCGCUCAAAGCAAAUUGUAUUUGACAAGGGAAAUCAAAUGUUUAAUCUUCCCUGCCAUUGUUUAUCCUCCUCUUCUGGUCUUUCAUAUUUGUUUAGUAUUUUUAAUAUUUAAAGCGUGUUAUUUAUUCCUCUACGCCAUAUUUGCUAGUUUGUGAGUGGUACACUGACUGUAUAUUCUGUAAGUGGGUUUGUUUUAAAUAAAAAACUACCUGGGAAGUUUGUAAUUCCAGUCAGGUAACGAGGAUCAUUAUAAACAUACCCUCAUGUAUGAUGACUACGCGCCAUGUCUGUUGGUUGCCAAGGCAGCGGCGUGUUCUGCCAGCCGCGCGCUCACCUUGAAUGAAUGGAGGACCUGUGAGAUUCGCGUAACAGCCUUUAAAGGCGGCGGAAGGAGGGUGGAGUGGAAGUGCGUCAAUCACCAAGUGCCGGUACACGCCCACGGCAACGAGCGUUGUUUGUAUACGGGCCUGGAUACAGAAAUACUGGAGCUGCCUCUUUCCCAGAAUGUGUGAAUACAGAACUCACACAUAGGCACAAUUUUAUUUAACCCUAUAUGCUGAAAAGACCAAUAUGCUGGUUAGUGGUGGACUAGCAUAGCUUUGAACCCAGAAACUGCCAGGUAAGAGGGACACCAGCUUUCAAAACACAACAUAUGCUGAAGGGAAGACUUAAAAGGCUUUUAUAGAACAUAAGGCAUAUAGUCUGGACUGAAAGCAAACGGUGAGUCAUAGGUGUGUCUGAAUAUAUGCACAACCACAUUGUCAUGAGGCAUGAGUCACACACAUACAAUAAUAAUGUGUGAGAAUUAUGCUUUUGCAGGUGGUGUUCAGGGCAUAAACUUGACAGCAUCAAAAUGUCCUGUUUGAAAUAUAUCCUUACCUAGCACAGCUAUGAGUCAUCCUCCACCAACACUGAUAAAUCUGUGCAAUGAACAUUCUGUAAAAGUUGCAAUGUCCUUGCUUUUUCCAAGAAAUGGCACAAUAGCAGGAAUCGCUAGUGAUUUAAUGAUUUUCCGGAUAUAAAAUGUGAGUCAGUGUCAUGAGUCUGAUGCUCAGAUAUGCUCAUAAAUUUCAUUCUCAAAAUGUUAUGUAACCCAAGUUUUCAAUGUGAAUGAAGAUAUAUGCUUGUGUUUGUAUGCUAGCAUGGCAUAGUCUCUUACUGUGCAACCAACAAAGCCAGUAACCACCGGCCGUCCACCCCCACACUGAGCUUGUAAACAAAAU
ensembl:lncRNA